CUUCUCCGGCAGCUGUGCCUCAUCGCUACCUGUGAGAUGCGCUCACAUCACUGCCACCGCCCGUUCCUGCUGCACGGCAUCACUGCCUCGACACACGUCCACCAUCUCCAGACAGAGCUGUGGUGAGGUCUCCUCAACCGCUUCCUCCACGCGCCCGAACUGAGGACAACAGGCUGGGACGCUGUAAGUGAUGCGUUGGGUGGAUGAGGCUUGAUAUAAAUAAAUUAGCCCCUGUAUUGCUUUGGUUAAUGAUGCCGUUGAUGAUGACAAGCCAAGGUAAACUGGGAAGGCUCACCUUUCCCGAUCAGGAGCUCACAUCAGGCUUUUUAGGUCUAUGAACUGGAAAAUUAAUGUGAGGUUUUACAGCCUCUUGUUGUGCUUGGAUGUGGAGGGCUGUGAUACGCUCCUCAGAAGUACAUAAUUUUAAAAUUGUACUUCAAAAAUACUGAUUUCUUCCAAAGAACUUUUUAUGUCAUAUUAAUGACUUCUGCCACACGCUUUAUGUAAACUUACAAGUCAUCUUUACAGAAGGAUGUGAUAUUUUAUAACGUCACAUUUAGGCAAAUAGUCCCCCAAACAUCUUUAGAACAGUGUGAAAACUGUUGUUAACAUACGAGCACACAUAAAUCUACACUGGGGGUUGUUUGUUGGUACCCUGAUGGGCUACUGCAGCAUUUUGUUUCUCUCUCAGUCUCAAUAUACCAUAAUUUUAAUUGAGAAUAGUAAAUUAUCAUGGUAAUUUGAGAUAUUCUCAGGUAGAGAUUUACAAAUAGCAGGAGGGGAUCAGCAUUGAUUGUUGCUCACUGCUGGGGAAGAGGCCUGGGAAGAUGAUGCUAUCAGGAAGACUGAAGAAAAACAAAUUAUACGUUGCAUGUGAAUGACAAAUGUGCCAGGAAAAAAAUGUAGAAAGGCAUCUGCUUUUUCCAAGGAAGAGGAGGGCAGCACAGGCACAAAGGAGAGCAGAAAAUAACCUGUACAAGCUCGUCCUCAUCCUCCUCUGAUAACCUGUGCUUUUUCUAAUAUGUCAUCUUGCAGCAUGAUUUUAUCUCUUCCCCCAGUGAUUAUUUCAGUGACUAUCAUGCCUAAAGCCAAAGGUAUUCUUCUGUCUUAAGUGAAAAAGUACUGUGCACCUUGGUCGCAGAUGUUUCUGAUGUGCUUCACUCGGGAUUUCUAACGUUGUUAAUUUUUGUGCCCUGCAAAAAUAUCCGUGGUUUUUGAGCGUGUUAUGAAAAAGAAGGGACCAGCAGCUGAUUGUUAAGGACACGUUGUCUGUUAGUCCACUCUCUACCCAACUGGCUCAUGUCUCUGCCUGUCCCUGAUAUUCCUGGUUUUAUUUCUUCUGCUGCUAGACCAGGAAGGGAAUUACCCUUUCAGAAUUUCCCCCUGACUUCUGAAUAACAUUUGGGUUUAGUUCUCAUUCCUACAGUUGUGUGCAUGCUGUACUCUUUUCAGGGAAUUUUUUUUCACCUCUCUUCAGUCCUCCCCUGUAUCAUCGAUGUUUGGUGUCUGCCUGCCUGUUGCACGCAGAAAGUAAGGAGACUGCCUUGUUUGCAAAGCCCUGGGUUAUUGGUUUCCUUCUUGCAAUGAUUUUCUAAUGAACAAACACAAUGUCACCAGAAAAGCUUUGCUUGGCUGCAGUCGCUAUUGCAAGUCCUAUACGCCCGUCAGGGUCUCCAUAAGGAUUUGCUCUUCUCACUAUCUCCUGCGAUAAUCCAUAUUUGGCUUUUAUCUUCUGGAAGUGUUUUUGUUGAGACUAUCACAGACUUUUUCAAAGUCAAUAAAGUUAAUGAUGAUGGGCGCACAAUUGUCUGAAACCAUCUUGUUUUUCCUUUAGCUGCUGCGUGUCUCUGAUUUCCUCUGCGAUAAAAUUAUCCUCUUACCACGUUCUGUCUGAUGCUGACGGACUACAGAGGAGAGGCAGCAGGUUCUGCACAGCCUGGCACAGAGGGGGCUGGUCCCAACAGGAUGCCCGCCGCCGUAGCAUCUCCCCAGACAGAAACGAUUUUUGUGUGUUACACUUCGCUAACGUUUGCUUCAGCCCUGGAAUCUAAGCGGGGAUGAGUUACUGCUGUUCUGUGGCUCCCUGCUCCAUCUGCUCCUGAAAUGAUCAUUCCAUGUGAUACAACAGAACAACUUCUGAAGCAAAUUGGACUGACUUGAGGGGAGGAAUAAGCAAGAGAGGAUCUCAGGAAUGAAAGGCCCUACUUUCAAUGUGAGGCGUGAAUUCAAAGAGCAAAGGAGGCUGGAAAAAUAAAGCAGGACGUUUCCAGCACAGCCCAGCCAGCGGGGAGCUGCCGAUAUUGGUCAAGAAUAUGCUGACCUUAAGCAGGAGGGCUUUGGUAACCCCUGGUUUUAGCAACAGUUAGAGAAGUCUGUUGGUACUCACCAGAAAUAUCAGCUCCUCUAACAGCUCUUCCUUUGCUCUAAUACGGCAUGAAGACAUGUCUGCAUUAUGUGGCGGCCGGGGCUUUCAGCCUACAUUGAAAUUUAGAUUUGAUUUCUAAGUCCAGCUUGGGAAAAGUCAAGGGACUUAUCACUCGAAAGGACUGACUGAGGCAUCUCAGGUGCUUUUAUCCUCUGUACACACAGGAUGGCUCCUCAAAUACUGUACUCUGAAUUUUAACAUCAGAUGUUUUAUCAGAGUUGGACUGUGUUAAUCGCAUUCAAAUGCUGUGACUCAUUUAACUGGACACUUUACCCAGAUUCUGGUAUGUGUUCCGCGUGAAGUCCUAUUUCUGAUGGUGUGAACUGCUGCUCAAAAAGCAGCAACUGAGAUCAAGUAGUCAAAGGGACUUCGACAGAUGAGUCCCAGUUUUGAUUUUGAAUAUUGGGCUUGCUUUAGGUUAUUCCUUAGGAAAAUCUGAUGUGGAGCUCAAAUGCAGUUAAGUGCCUUCUCAUUACUCUCCUAUUAGCUCAAGAGUGCAGCGAGGAGGAGAAAAUCAUGAGCUCAGGUGUAGAGAAAAGAACCAGAAGUUAAAUGCACCUAAAUGUGUUUGGAGAAUUUGAAAAUAAAGAAGGUGAAGUGCUAUGUAAAGCUUGCCUUUGAUCUGAGCUCUAGCCACGGCUGGAGAUCACAUCUGAGUUGCAACAGCAGGCAGUGCUCACUCUGCUGGGUAAAGGUAAUCAGGGAUAAAGCAAAGAGAAAAUAGAAGGGGAGG